rnacentral:pre_miRNA from 1 species
AAACCGCCCCCUAAGUUCUGCAAUUGUAGCAGUUUUGGCCCCCCAAGGCCAAUUUUUGGUAAAAAAAAUAAAAAUAAAACACGUGGCACUUCACUUAGGGUGCCGCGUCAGCAUAGACCGAGUCAAAAUUGGCUUUGGGGGCCAAAACUGCCACAAAUGCAAAACUUAGGGGGCGGUUU